rnacentral:rRNA from 1 species
GACGAACCGUGCGAACGUUAUUCGGAAUCACUGGGCUUAAAGCGCGUGUAGGCGGGUCGCCACGUCGGGCGCUGAAAUCCCCCGGCUCAACCGGGGAACGGGCACCGAUACGAGCGGCCUGGAGGGGAGUAGGGGGACCUGGAACUUCCAGUGGAGCGGUGAAAUGCGUUGAUAUUGGAAGGAACGCCGGAGGCGAAAGCGACGCACUGGACCUCUUCUGACGCUGAGGCGCGAAAGCUAGGGGAGCAAACGGG